rnacentral:rRNA from 1 species
AUUGAACGCUGGCGGCAGGCUUAACACAUGCAAGUCGAGCGGGGUGAUGGUGCUUGCACUAUCACUUAGCGGCGGACGGGUGAGUAAUGCUUAGGAAUCUGCCUAUUAGUGGGGGACAAUAUCUCGAAAGGGAUGCUAAUACCGCAUACGUCCUACGGGAGAAAGCAGGGGAUCACUUGUGACCUUGAGCUAAUAGAUGAGCCUAAGUCGGAUUAGCUAGUUGGUGGGGUAAAGGCCGACCAAGGCGACGAUCUGUAGCGGGUCUGAGAGGAUGAUCCGCCACACUGGGACUGAGACACGGCCCAGACUCCUACGGGAGGCAGCAGUGGGGAAUAUUGGACAAUGGGGGGAACCCUGAUCCAGCCAUGCCGCGUGUGUGAAGAAGGCCUUAUGGUUGUAAAGCACUUUAAGCGAGGAGGAGGCUCUUUUGGUUAAUACCCAAGAUGAGUGGACGUUACUCGCAGAAUAAGCACCGGCUAACUCUGUGCCAGCAGCCGCGGUAA